UACGGGGGGGGCAAGCGUUGUUCGGAAUUACUGGGCGUAAAGGGCUCGUAGGCGGUUUGUCGCGUCGGGAGUGAAAACCAGGUGCUUAACACCUGGCUUGCUUUCGAUACGGGCAGACUAGAGGUAUUCAGGGGAGAACGGAAUUCCUGGUGUAGCGGUGAAAUGCGCAGAUAUCAGGAGGAACACCGGUGGCGAAGGCGGGUCUCUGGGCCGAUAUUGACGCUGAGGAGCGAAAGCGUGGGGAGCGAACAGG
rnacentral:rRNA from 1 species